AUUGAACGCUGGCGGCAGGCUUAACCCAUGCAAGUCGAGCGAGCGGCGGACGGGUGAGUAAUGUCUGGGAAACUGCCUGAUGGAUGGGGAUAACUACUGGCAACGGUAGCUAAUACCGCAUACCAUCAGAUGUGCCCAGAUGGGAUUAGCUAGUAGGUGGGGUAAUGGCUCACCUAGGCGACGAUCCCUAGCUGGUCUGAGAGGAUGACCAGCCACACGGGAAAUGAGAAACGGUCAAGACUCCUACGGGAGGCAGCAGUGGGGAAUAUUGCACAAUGGGCGCAAGCCUGAUGCAGCCAUGCCGCGUGUAUGAAGAAGGCCGGAGGGUUGUAAAGUACUUUCAGCGGGGAGGCGUUACCCGCAGAAGAAGCACCGGCUAACGCCGUGCCAGCAGCCGCGGUAAUAC
rnacentral:rRNA from 1 species